CCCUUAGAUGUUCUGGGCUGCACGCGCGCUACACUGAUGUGUUCAUCGGGUUCGACCUUGCCCGGGAGGGUUGGGUAAUCCUUUCAAAACACAUCGUGAUGGGGAUAGAUUAUUGCAAUUAUUAAUCUUCAACGAGGAAUGCCUAGUAAGCGCAAGUCAUCAGCUUGCGUUGAUUACGUCCCUGCCCUUUGUACACACCGCCCGUCGCUCCUACCGAUUGAAUGGUCCGGUGAAGCGUUCGGACCGUGGCCUUUGGACGGUUCGCCGUCUGUUGGCUGCGGGAAGUUCGUUAAACCUUAUCAUUUAGAGGAAGGAGAAGUCGUAACA
rnacentral:rRNA from 1 species